UACGAAGGUGGCAAGCGUUGUUCGGAUUUACUGGGCGUACAGGGAGCGUAGGCGGUUGGGUAAGCCCUCCGUCAAAUCUUCGGGCCUAACCCGGAAAGUGCGGAGGGGACUGCUCGGCUAGAGGAUGGGAGAGGAGCGCGGAAUUCCCGGUGUAGCGGUGAAAUGCGUAGAGAUCGGGAGGAAGGCCGGUGGCGAAGGCGGCGCUCUGGAACAUUUCUGACGCUGAGGCUCGAAAGCGUGGGGAGCAAACAGG
rnacentral:rRNA from 1 species